UACGAGGGGGGCAAGCGUUGUUCGGAAUUAUUGGGCGUAAAGGGUGCGUAGGCGGUGCGGUAAGUCUGUUGUGAAAUCUCCGGGCUCAACUCGGAGUCUGCAUCAGAAACUGCCGUGCUGGAGUGUGGGAGAGGUGAGUGGAAUUCCCGGUGUAGCGGUGAAAUGCGUAGAGAUCGGGAGGAACACCUGCGGCGAAAGCGGCUCACUGGACCAUAACUGACGCUGAGGCGCGAAAGCUAGGGGAGCAAACAGG
rnacentral:rRNA from 1 species